ACUCCUACGGGAGGCAGCAGUAGGGAAUCUUCCACAAUGGGCGCAAGCCUGAUGGAGCAACACCGCGUGAGUGAAGAAGGGUUUCGGCUCGUAAAGCUCUGUUGUUAAAGAAGAACACGUAUGAGAGUAACUGUUCAUACGUUGACGGUAUUUAACCAGAAAGUCACGGCUAACUACGUGCCAGCAGCCGCGGUAAUACGUAGGUGGCAAGCGUUAUCCGGAUUUAUUGGGCGUAAAGAGAGUGCAGGCGGUUUUCUAAGUCUGAUGUGAAAGCCUUCGGCUUAACCGGAGAAGUGCAUCGGAAACUGGAUAACUUGAGUGCAGAAGAGGUAGUGGAACUCCAUGUGUAGCGGUGGAAUGCGUAGAUAUAUGGAAGAACACCAGUGGCGAAGGCGGCUACCUGGUCUGCAACUGACGCUGAGACUCGAAAGCAUGGGUAGCGAACAGGAUUAGAUACCCCUGGUAGGAUAGCC
rnacentral:rRNA from 1 species